CAUUCAAAGCACAAUUUCUAAAUACUAGUCUUUGAAAGUUUGAAAUAUAAAAUCAAAAAAUUUAAACAUAAUUAAAUUUUUCGGAAACAUAAUUAAAGUGUCCAAGCAUCUGAAUAUACAAAAUAAUAAUUAAUAAUCAUUAAUUCAAAAAUAAUCUAAUUGGUAAUUUCAAUUCAAAUUGUUCAUAUCCAUAAAUCAAAAGCAAGAAAUUCAUGAUUAAAUAAUUAAUUUAUAAUAUCCAAUUACCCAUUUCCCAUAAUAAUAUGAUAUUAUUUGUCUAUCUAUGUCCUAAUUCUUAUUAUAAACCCUUUAAUUUCAAGUCCAAAUUGAUUAACAUACAGUAAAAUAUUAAUUGAAUUAAUUAAUUUUUUAAGGUUGAAGGUUUAAAGCGAUUGCACAAGUGCACAUAAUCACAUAACACAAUAACACAUUAUAAUUAGAAAAUAUAUGCAACAUCAUAUUUAAUUUUAAUAUUUAAUCUAUCUACCUAAUCUCCUAAUUUAUUCAUUAAAAAAAAUUAUUAAUUGUUAUUAACAAUUAUUAACAAUUAUCAAUUAACGUUGAUAUAUAUCUUAUCAUUAACAAAUAUUUUGUUAUUUAUUAACAAUUAAUAAAAAUUUAUUCAUAACAAAAUCAUAAAAACAUCAAUUUUUUUGAUUUUAUUACUAACAUUUAAAAAUACAUAAUUACAAAUUUACAACAAUUAAACAAUAAUCAAUUACAUAAUAAAUAACCAAUUAAGCAAUAACUAAGAAGCAUAUAUAACUAUAUAAUAUACCAUGAAAGAUUGAAAUUGAAACUUGAAAGUCAAAGCUUCAAAUCGGUUCGGGUGAGAGUGGGAGAAACUCGAGUCGGGUUGGUCCGGUUGGAACUUGGAAGCUUCGGCCUUGGGCUUGGAGGCUUGGAGCAGCAGAUCGGCCGACGGUGGAACACGGCAGGCGGCAGCAGAUCGAGGCAACAGAUCACGGCUGUAGGAAGUGGGCAGAUCGAGGCAGCAGAUCACUGCAGCAAGAAGUGGGCAGAUCGCAGCAGCAGGAUGUGGGCAGCAGAUCGCGGCAGUGGGCACUAGGCAGCAGAUCGCGACGUGGCUGAUUGGCUAUGGCCUGUGUGCGUGAGUGGCUGCUAUGUGUGCUCUAUGUUCCGUGGAGACUGGAGAGUGGAGUGGUUGUGGUGUGGCGGUUGGCCUGUGUGUGUGACUGUGUGUGAGGCCGUGAGUCCGUGACUUGUGAGUGUGUGAGUUGUGAAUCUUGUGACUUUGUGUGUGAGAGUUGAGACUUAGACUAUGAAUUCACAGUUGUGAUUCUGUGCGUGUGACUGUGAGUGAGUGGUUGUGGUGUGUGUAAUCUGUUUUUUUUUUUAGGUGACCCGAUUGGGUAUUCUGGUUCGGGUGACCCGAUCGGGUUAACUUUUUCACCCGAUCGGGUUUUAGUAACAACCCGAUCCGACCCGAACCUGAAAUUUUUCGGAUCGGGUCGGGUAAAAUGCCCACCCCUGGUAGAAAUCAAGAACUAAAAUGAUUUAUUUAACUAAUAUUUGUAGCGCAUUAAAAGGAGACAGUCAUGGACAAGUGUUGGGUUGGUUUGCCAAAUAGAAAUCCAAGUCAUAUACUGAUGGGUAGGGGUGGGCAUAAACCCACAACCCAUGGGUUUAUCCAAACCCAAACCAAAUUAAAUGGUUUGGGUUGGGUAAAUUAUGAAAAUGGGUUAGAUGUGGGUUUUAUAUAGAAAACCAUUUCAUUAUGGGUUGGGUAUGGUUUACCCAUGUGUUAUGAAUAAAACCCCAACACUCAAAUUUUUCAAAUGAAA
rnacentral:lncRNA from 1 species